rnacentral:rRNA from 1 species
AUUGAACGCUGGCGGUAUGCUUAACACAUGCAAGUCGAACGAUGAGAAAGAGCUUGCUCCUUCGAUUAGUGGCGGACGGGUGCGUAACGCGUAGGAAUCUACCUAUUAGUGGGGGACAACUUAGGGAAACUUAAGCUAAUACGGCGUACGCCCUACGGGGGAAAGAAGGGGAUCGCAAGACCUUUUGCUAAUAGAUGAGCCUGCGUAGGAUUAGCUAGUUGGUGGGGUAAAAGCUCACCAAGGCGACGAUCCUUAACUGGUUUGAGAGAAUGAUCAGUCACACUGGAACUGAGACACGGUCCAGACUCCUACGGGAGGCAGCAGUGGGGAAUAUUGGACAAUGGGCGAAAGCCUGAUCCAGCAAUACCGCGUGUGUGAAGAAGGCCUUAGGGUUGUAAAGCACUUUCAAUUGGAAGGAAAACCUCGAAGCUAAUACCUUCGAGUUUGACAUUACCUUUAGAAGAAGCACCGGCUAACUCCGUGCCAGCAGCCGCAGUAACAC